UGUGACCACAUCAUCCUGCAUACGCUUGAUCUCAUAAGAUAUCAGAAACUAAACAGCGUUGACCCUGGUUGGUACUUGCAUGGAAGACCGCCAAGGAAUACCAGGAUUGGUAAAAA
rnacentral:rRNA from 1 species